CCUACCGGGAGGCAGCAGUGAGGAAUAUUGGUCAAUGGGCGAGAGCCUGAACCAGCCAAGUCGCGUGAGGGAGUACUGCCCUAUGGGUUGUAAACCUCUUUUGUCGGGGAGCAAAAGCCGGACGUGUCCGGCUGUGAGAGUACCCGAAGAAAAAGCAUCGGCUAACUCCGUGCCCGCAGCCGCGGUAAUACGGAGGAUGCGAGCGUUAUCCGGAUUUAUUGGGUUUAAAGGGUGCGCAGGCGGAUUUUUAAGUCUGCGGUCAAAUCGUGGGGCUCAACCCCAUCCAGCCGUUGAAACUGGGGAUCUAGAGUGUGCGAGAGGUAUGCGGAAUGCGUGGUGUAGCGGUGAAAUGCAGAGAUAUCACGCAGAACCCCGAUUGCGAAGGCAGCAUACCGGUGCACAACUGACGCUCAGGCACGAAAGCGUGGGUAUCGAACAGGAUUAGAUACCCCUGUAGUC
rnacentral:rRNA from 1 species